UAAAAUAAAAUUACUUUAUUUAUUUUGAUUAUUUUAUUUUUAAUAAAAGGAAUUUUAUAAUUAUUAGUUUUUAGUAUUUUAAAGAAAAAAUAAUUUUUGUUAUAGUUAAUUAGUACUUUAAAGGAAUUUUGAAAUAUAAUAUUAUAGUAAAAAAGUAUAAUUAAUUAUUAGUACCUUUUGUAUCAGGGUUUAUUAAUUAUUUUUAAUGAAUUUUAUUAUUCCCGAAUCCAGGAGAGUUAAUUUUAUAUUAAAUUUAAUGUUGCAAAAUUAUUUUAAAUAUAUAAUUAGUAAUGAAAUGUUAUUCGUUUCUGGAAAUAUCUGGUUUUUUAAGAAUUAAAUUUAAUUUAGCUUAUAUGAAAUAAUUUAAUUAAAUUGUUUAAUUAAAUUAUUUUUUAUAGGAAAAUAUUAUAGGGAUAAGCUUGUGAUAUUAUUUAAUAAGUUAAUAUUUUUAUUAAGAUAGAUAGGAUUAGAAAUUUUCAUUCUUGGCUAAAAUGUUAUAAUUAAUUUAUUUAAAACAAAAAUUUAUUGGACUUUUAUUAUUUAUUAAAAAUUUUUUUAAAAUUAUUUUAAAAAGUUAUAAUGAUAAAAUUAGUAUUAUAUUAGGUAAAUAUAAUUAUUUUAUAUAGAUAAUAAUAAGGAAUUCAGCAAAAUUAUACUCGCCUGUUUAUCAAAAACAUGUCUUUUUGAUUUUAAUAAAAAGUCUAAUCUGCCCACUGAAGUUUUUGAAGGGCCGCAGUAAUUUGACUGUGCAAAGGUAGCAUAAUCAUUUGUCUCUUAAAUGGAGGCUUGUAUGAAUGAUUGGACGAGGUAUAAACUGUCUCAUUGUUAAAGUAAUAAAAAUUUAACAUUUUAGUUAAAAGGCUUAAAUGUUGUUGGAGGACGAGAAGACCCUAUAGAUCUUUAUAUUAAUUAAUAUUUUUUAUUUUAGAAAAAUAAUUUAAUGAAUAUUAAUUUAAUGUUUUGUUGGGGUGACAAGAAAAUUUAAUAAACUUUUCUUUUAUAUAAACAUAAAUUAGUGAAUAUAUGAUCCAUUAUUAUUGAUUAUAAGAAUAAGUUACCUUAGGGAUAACAGCGUUAUUUUGUUGGAGAGUUCAUAUUGAUAACAAAGUUUGCGACCUCGAUGUUGAAUUAAAGAAACUUUAAAGUGCAGCAGCUUUAAGAUGUAGGUCUGUUCGACCUUUAAAUCUUUACAUGAUUUGAGUUCAGACCGGCGUAAGCCAGGUCGGUUUCUAUCCUCAAUUAAUUAAUAUAGUUUAGUACGAAAGGACCAACUAUAAAAAUAAUAUUUUAUAAAUUUGAAUAAAAUUA
rnacentral:rRNA from 1 species